rnacentral:RNase_P_RNA from 1 species
UCAGCAGGCCGUUCCAUCGCCUUCCGCCACAGGCGGGGGGAGGAAAGUCCGGGCAGCAAAGGGCAUCAUGCUUCCUAACGGGAAGAUACCUGUGAGGGUAUGGUAACGGAGAAGAAAAAAACCGCCCCGCAUGCCGGGGUAAGGGUGAGAAGGUGAGGUAAGAGCUCACCGGUCCGUCUGGCGACAGGCGGAGCCGUCCGUUCCGUGAGCUGUAAGGCCAUGUAUAUUCCGGGUUUUCUGUUAAUUCAGAAAAGCAGGGCUGCCCGUCCUGCAUUCCCCGAAGGGGAUGACCGGAAGGGGUAGGCCGCAAGAGGCAGCCGGUGACGGCUGUCCCAGACAGAUGAUGGAAGUCCCCGAUAGGGGAUACAGAACCCGGCUUACAGGCCUGCUGACUUU